AGCGCAGGCGGGAAGACAAGUUGGAAGUGAAAACCAUGGGCUCAACCCAUGAAUUGCUUUCAAAACUGUUUUUCUUGAGUAGUGCAGAGGUAGGCGGAAUUCCCGGUGUAGCGGUGGAAUGCGUAGAUAUCGGGAGGAACACCGAUGGCGAAGGCAAUCCCCUGGGCCUGUACUGACGCUCAUGCACGAAAGCGUGGGGAGCAAACA
rnacentral:rRNA from 1 species